rnacentral:lncRNA from 1 species
UCCUCCCAUCUCAGCCUUCCAAGUAGCAAGAACCAUAGGUGUGCACCACCACACCUGGCUAAUUUUUGUCUUUUUUGUAGAGAUGGCGUUUCGCCGUGUUGCCCAGACUGGCUGCGAACUCCUGGGCUGAAGCGACCCACCCACCUCUGCCUCCCAAAGUGCUGGGAUUACAGGGGAGCAAAGCCAGGAAAAAUUGUUAUAAUUUCUAAGUCAAUACAAAAAUCCCUUAUUCUUGGCCCAUGGAAACAACAUAGCACAUAUCUGGGACUCAUGAUCUUCAUUAUUCCGUAAGGAUUCUCCCUGGUACCCAGAAGACAUCUUCUGUUUCUUUCCUCUCUAUUGUCCUUGGUAUAUGAUCAAGAAAUUUAAACCAAUUUGUGUAUCAGGAUAAGCAAAAUACCAGAAAGUUAGCUAAGCUAUGAAAAUUAUAUAACCUAGUUCCAAAGCUAACCACAAAUGACUUUUGGAUUUUAUACUAUACUCCAUUAUUCAUUCACUCUGUCUUCUCUACUAUGAAGAUUUUGGAGAAGUGCCUGUGUAUUACAAAUGAAAAGGUUUCCAAAAAGAAAAAAUAAAAAAAUAGAAAAUGAAAACAACAAAUAGCUGCUUUCUAACACCACCACUGUAUUCUCAUACAAGUAUCAAGCACCUCUUUUUUUUUAAGCUUAUCAUUUUGUGAAACACUUGCUUAUAGAAUAGUUUCUUUGUGGCCUCACAUGUUGUAGUAAUUAGGAACAGUAGUUUCCGUUCAGGGGAGCAUGAGGUAAUAAUGGCUUUCUGGAAGCAAACUCAGAAAUAGUCACUGUGCCCAGCAGACCUCAAAACAGGCAGGAAAGAACUCAGGAACCACACAGGCAGAAUCCUUACUUUUGUUGUAUCUGUUAAUGGGAGGUAUGUGUGUGUAUGUUGGGUUGCGUGUAUAGGGAUGGGAGUAGAUUUCACUUACAAAAGCAAAACUACAAUAAAAAACCAUUUUUCUUUGUGGAAGGAAAGUUUUACAUCAGAUUUCUGCUUAUCCCGGCAUAGGAGACUGAGAGAAAUUUAGUAGAGAAUCUUUCACAACACUGGCUUUAUGCUCUCACCUGAUCUCACAAAGCACAUUUCAGAAACCCGGAUGGGAGCUUUUAACCCCUGGUGUGCAUAAUCAGCAACAUGUUUAAAGGGAUAUAUGACCCCUUGCCUGACAUUCCUUUAUUCUAUUGACAUUGAUCGAUUUAGGCUUUUGAACUGUCCCCAGUCUCCAGCCCCAAAAUCAAAGACUUCUCUCUGUCUCAGUGUUGAAGCACAUUUUUGAAUUGAAGAAUCAUGAACUCCCAACCUUUUUUGACUCUUUUCCGCAUUAAAAUUUUAAAAUUCCCCCUUAGGAGGCAUUCAACACUGUUGCUGUCAAAAUAAUUGUUGUAUAAUUCCUUUUCAGGAUUAUUUAUUGAACUG